CCUACGGGAGGCAGCAGUGGGGAAUAUUGCACAAUGGGGGAAACCCUGAUGCAGCGACGCCGCGUGAGUGAAGAAGUAAUUCGUUAUGUAAAGCUCUAUCAGCAGGGAAGAAAAUGACGGUACCUGAGUAAGAAGCCCCGGCUAACUACGUGCCAGCAGCCGCGGUAAUACGGAGGGGGCAAGCGGUAGCCGGAUUUACUGGGUGGAAAGGGAGCGUAGGCGGCAGUGCAAGUCUGGGGUGAAAGGCGGGGGCUCAACCCCCGGACUGCUCUGGAAACUGUACGGCUGGAGUGCAGGAGAGGUAAGUGGAAUUCCUAGUGUAGCGGUGAAAUGCGUAGAUAUUAGGAGGAACACCAGUGGCGAAGGCGGCUUACUGGACUGUAACUGACGUUGAGGCUCGAAAGCGUGGGGAGCAAACAGGAUUAGAUACCCGAGUAGUC
rnacentral:rRNA from 1 species